UAAUAUUAAAACGAAAUAGUAUAAAAAUACGGACAUUAAAUUAAAAGUGAAAUAAACGAAAUUACCUAAAAAUCUAAAACACGAGCUUGAUUGGAAGGGUUAUGCAAAUUGAACCCUUUUUUUAUUUUUUUAUUUUUUUCUUUUCUUUUCUUUUUCUUUCUUUCUCUUUUUUUUCCUUUUUUCGGCCUGCUGGACCGUAGACUUCGGCCUGCUGGCCUUUAGGGGCUGCUGGACGGGCCCGGCCUGCUGGGCUGAUGGGGACUGGGCUGCUGCAGGCCUGCUGUUUGGGUUGCUAUUGGGCUGGCUAAAAAUGGCCUGCUAUUAUUUUUUUCUGCUGCUUCUUUUUUUUUUUUUGCUUUGUGUUUUUUUUGGGCUGCUUUGGGCUUGACUAUUGGGCUCGCUGGGUCGGGUUGGGUCACCGAAUCGGGUCGGGUCAGACUAGGUUCGGGUCGGUUUGACCCGAAUGUUAAUUAAAUUUUUUCUUUUUUUCUUUCCCUCUUCUUUCUUCUUCUUUCUUUCUUUCUUUCUUCUUCUUCUUCUUCUUCCUCAAAACCGAGCCACCACACCGCCACUUCUUUCACGCUGCCGUUCGAGCUACCGCCGUCGACUCCACCGGUCCUUUCUCUUUCCUUUCGAAAAAGCUCCCUUUUUGUGGGUUUUUUCUUUGAAAUUUUUUUGUGUUGGCGGUCUAAUUUUUGGGGUUUUAAGCCCCUUUUAUAAUUGAUUUUUUGUUCCUUUUGCAGGUAGCAAGUGGGCUAGGGAGGGCCUAGGUCGGCCGCCGCCGUUGCAGGUGCAACUUGUGUCGGUGGCUGCCAGAAGGACCCAAAUGUAAACGCAGCAAAAUUUUUGGGGCUUAAACGUAAUUUUGAGAAAAUUUUGGGCCAAAACGUAAUU
rnacentral:lncRNA from 1 species